rnacentral:rRNA from 1 species
GACGAACGCUGGCGGCGUGCUUAACACAUGCAAGUCGAACGAAGAGCGAUGGAAGCUUGCUUCCAUCAAUCUUAGUGGCGAACGGGUGAGUAACGCGUAAUCAACCUGCCCUUCAGAGGGGGACAACAGUUGGAAACGACUGCUAAUACCGCAUACGAUCUAAUCUCGGCAUCGAGGAUAGAUGAAAGGUGGCCUCUACAUGUAAGCUAUCACUGAAGGAGGGGAUUGCGUCUGAUUAGCUAGUUGGAGGGGUAACGGCCCACCAAGGCGAUGAUCAGUAGCCGGUCUGAGAGGAUGAACGGCCACGUUGGGACGGAGACACGGCCCAGACGCCUACGGGAGGCAGCAGUGGGGAAUCUUCCGCAAGAGACGAAAGUCUGACGGAGCAACGCCGCGUGAGUGAUGACGGCCUUCGGGUUGGAAAGCUCGGUUAAUCGGGACGAAAGGCCUUCUUGCGAAUAGGGAGAAGGAUUGACGGUACCGGAAUAGAAAGCCACGGCUAACUACGUG